GCAGUCGAACGAGCGAGAGAGAGCUUGCUUUCUCAAGCGAGUGGCGAACCGGUGAGUAACGCGUGAGGAACCUGCCUCAAAGAGGGGGACAACAGUUGGAAACGACUGCUAAUACCGCAUAAGCCCACGACUCGGCAUCGGGUAGAGGGAAAAGGAGCAAUCCGCUUUGAGAUGGCCUCGCGUCCGAUUAGCUAGUUGGUGAGGUAAUGGCCCACCAAGGCGACGAUCGGUAGCCGGACUGAGAGGUUGAACGGCCACAUUGGGACUGAGACACGGCCCAGACUCCUACGGGAGGCAGCAGUGGGGAAUAUUGCACAAUGGGGGAAACCCUGAUGCAGCGACGCCGCGUGGAGGAAGAAGGUCUUCGGAUUGUAAACUCCUGUUGUUGAGGAAGAUAAUGACGGUACUCAACAAGGAAGUGACGGCUAACUACGUGCCAGCAGCCGCGGUAAAACGUAGGUCACAAGCGUUGUCCGGAAUUACUGGGUGUAAAGGGAGCGCAGGCGGGAAGACAAGUUGGAAGUGAAAUCCAUGGGCUCAACCCAUGAACUGCUUUCAAAACUGUUUUUCUUGAGUAGUGCAGAGGUAGGCGGAAUUCCCGGUGUAGCGGUGGAAUGCGUAGAUAUCGGGAGGAACACCAGUGGCGAAGGCGGCCUACUGGGCACCAACUGACGCUGAGGCUCGAAAGUGUGGGUAGCAAACAGGAUUAGAUACCCUGGUAGUCCACACUGUAAACGAUGAUUACUAGGUGUUGGAGGAUUGACCCCUUCAGUGCCGCAGUUAACACAAUAAGUAAUCCACCUGGGGAGUACGACCGCAAGGUUGAAACUCAAAGGAAUUGACGGGGGCCCGCACAAGCAGUGGAGUAUG
rnacentral:rRNA from 1 species